rnacentral:rRNA from 1 species
CACGUAGGGCGCGAGCGUUGUCCGGAAUUAUUGGGCGUAAAGAGCUCGUAGGCGGCCUGUUGCGUCCGCUGUGAAAGCCCGGGGCUUAACCCCGGGUCGGCAGUGGAUACGGGCAGGCUAGAGGUAGGUAGGGGAGAAUGGAAUUCUCGGUGUAGCGGUGAAAUGCGCAGAUAUCGGGAGGAACACCGGUGGCGAAGGCGGUUCUCUGGGCCUUACCUGACGCUGAGGAGCGAAAGCGUGGGGAGCGAACAGG